ensembl:lncRNA
UUGUUCUCAAAUUUAGAAGAGAGACAUCAGCAAGAUGGUGAAAUACAAAGUCCUGGACCCUCCUUCCCUCCACAAAUACACUGAUUUGACAAAAAUUCAUGGACAGAUUCCCUUUGUAAGAAACCAAGAAACUGGUUAAGAGGCUCUUAUAUCCCAGAUUUUGGUUCCCUGACUGAGAAUGAAUGCAUUGCUAGUGGAUCUGCUACCAAGGGCCAGGAGUCUCAGAGUUCCUCACAAGCAGCUGCCAGCCCAAUUUUGUCUGGAGGUGUGUUUCCUUCUCUCUGGCCCUACCACUGCCAGCCCCAACCAUGUUCCUGAUUGCCUCGGAAGAACAAUCUUUGCAUUUGACAUCUGCAUCCAGAUAGAUUUUGCAAGUGGAAGAUGAACAACAACAUGCCUCCUGGCAGCCUGCCCAUUGGUAAGUCUGAGUGAGUGAAAUGCUGUCCCUCCUAUCCUCAGCAAGCAGCUAUAAAAGAAGCCAGGGAUUAGGUGUUAAACUGUGUUCCCAUUAAUUUGAAUCAUCCAAGUCUUAAUUUCCCAGUAUCUCACAAUUUGACUGUAUUUGGAAAAGGCUCUGUAGAGAGGUAAUUAAUUAAAAUUAGGUCAUAAGGGUGGUCACUAAUCCAAUAUGACUCUGUUUUUAAAGAGGAGAUUAGGACACAGACACACACAGAGGAGAGACUGUGAGAAGCUACAAGGAGAACAUAACUAUCUACAAAACAAGAAGACCUUGGCAGAAACCAACUCUACUGACACCUUGAUCUCAGACUUCUAGCCUCCAGAAUUCUGGGGAAGAUAAAAUUUCUGUUGUUUAAGCCACUAGUUUCUGGUACUUUGAUAUGGCCACUCUAGCAGAAAAAUACACUGAGUAUGGGCUACAUGAAGCUAUAGGGUAGUAUGCUUUGAAUCUGUGCCCUGCCCAAAUCUGAUGUGGAGUGGUAGUCUCCAGUGUUCCAGGUGGGACCAGGUGGGAGGUGACUGCAUCAUGGGGGUAGGUGUCUCAUAAAUGGUUUAGCACCAUCCCCCCUUGGUACUGUAUAGUGAGCGAGUUCUCAUGAGAUCUGUUUGUUUCACAAAUGUGAAACCCCUCCCCCGCCUGCCCCAAAUUUCCUCCUGCUCCAGCUCUGUAAGACCAGCCUGUAUCCCCUUUGCCUUCUGCCGUGAUUGUGUUUCCCGAGGCCUCCCCAGAAGCAGAUGCUGCCAUGUUUCCUGUACAGCCUGCAGAACCAUGAGCCAACUAAACUUCUUUUCUUUAUAAAUUACCCAGUUUCAGAUAUUUAUAGCAGUGUGAGAACAAACUAAUACAGAGGGCAUAUCUCGAAUUGACUGUGGCAGUAUUGAUGGCUUUCUACUAGGGGAAUAGAGAGAAUCAGGAAGUUGAGAUGAUAUGUGUCUACCCAAAAGCAGAAGAAUCUAGAACAAAAGCAUUCACAUCCUUUAUCCUUUUAUUCAACAUUUUCUCAAUAUUGCUUUGAGCUGAGAGCCAGGAGUACUUUUCUAGUUUCCAAAGCCACAUUUUAAAUAAAAAAGAGCAUGGUAGGCAUUCAAAAUAACAAAUGAAAACUUUCUGUGUUCAUAUUUCGACUUAAAUGAUGGACUGCUACUAAGUGGCUAUUAUUUUCUUUUCUUUCUCUGUCUCUCUUUUUUUUUUGUUGUUGUUACCUUAAUAUUUUCCUAUGUCAUUAAAAGUUAUUAGAACACUAAAACCACAAAUAGCCAGGUGUUAACUUUUUUCUUGUGGUUAAAUAUAAAUAACAAAAUUUAUUAUAUUAACUCUUUUUAGGGGUACAACUCCAUGGCAUUAACUAUAUUCACAUUGUUGUGCAAUCACCACCAUCCAUCUUCAGAACUUCUUAAAAAAUCUUCCCCAACUCUGGUGAUAACUUUUAAAUAACUGUUUCCAUUGAAACUGCCCCUUUCUUAUACCUUAUGCAAAAAUUAACUCAAGAUAGAUUAAAGCCUUAGAUAUAAACCCUCAAACUAUAAAAACCCUAGAACAAAAUCUAGGCAAUACCACACAUGACAUAGGUAAGCAAGGGCAAAGAUUUCAGUUGCGACAAAAGCAAAAACUGGCAAAUGGGAUCUGAUUAAACUAAAGAGCUUCUUCACAGCAAAAGAAACUAUCAUCACAGUAAAUAGAUAACCUACAGAAUGGGAGAAAAAUUUUGCAAUCUAUCCAUCUGACAAAAGUCUAAUAUCCAGAAUAUACAAGGAACUUAAAUGAAUUUACAAGAAAAAAAAAACAACCCCAUUAAAAAGUGGGCAAAGACAUGAGCAAGCUUAAUACCACUAAUUAUUAGAGAAAUGCAAAUCAAAACUACCAUGAGAUACCAUGUCACUCCAGUCAGAAUGGCAAUUAUUAAAAAGCUGAGAAACAACAGAUGCUGAUGAAGCUGUGGAGACACAGGAAUGCUUUUACACUGUCGAUGUGAAUGUAAAUGAGUUCAACCAUUGUGGAAGACAGUGUGGUGAUUCUUCAGAGAUUUAGAAUGAGAAAUACCAUUUGACCCAGCAAUCCCAUUGCUGGGUAUAUAAAGGAAUAUAAGUCAUUCUAUUAUGGUGAUUCACACAUGUGUAUGUUCACUGCUGCAAUAUUCAUAGUAGCAAAGACAUGGAAUCAACCCAAGUGCCCAUCAGUGAUAAACUGUAUACAAGAAAUGUGGUACAUGUACCCAUGGAAUACUAUGCAGCUCUAAAAAGGAAUGAGAUCAUGUUCUUUGCAGGGAUGUGGAUGGAGUUGGAAGCCAUUAUCCUCAGCAAACUAAUGGAGGAGCAGAAAACCAAACACCACAUGUUCUUACCUACAAGAGGGAGCUGAACCAUAAAAACACAUGGACACAUGGAGGGGAAUAACAUACACUGGGGCCUGUCUGGGGACAGGGAAGGGAAGGGAGAGCAUCAGGAUAAAUAGCUAAUGCACGU